rnacentral:rRNA from 1 species
GAUGAACGCUGGCGGUCUGCUUAACACAUGCAAGUCGAACGGAAUCCCUCGGGAUUUAGUGGCGGACGGGUGAGUAACACGUAAGAACCUGCCUCUAGGACGGGGACAACAGUUGGAAACGACUGCUAAACCCGGAUGAGCCGAAAGGUAAAAGAUUUAUCGCCUAGAGAGGGGCUUGCGUCUGAUUAGCUAGUUGGUAAGGUAAAGGCUUACCAAGGCGACGAUCAGUAGCUGGUCUGAGAGGAUGAUCAGCCACACUGGGACUGAGACACGGCCCAGACUCCUACGGGAGGCAGCAGUGGGGAAUUUUCCGCAAUGGGCGAAAGCCUGACGGAGCAAGACCGCGUGGGGGAGGAAGGUUCUUGGAUUGUCAACCCCUUUUCUCAGGGAAGAACGCAAUGACGGUACCUGAGGAAAAAGCAUCGGCUAACUCCGUGCCAGCAGCCGCCGUAACAC